GCUCUAAACAGCAUGGAGGAGCAUGGUUUUCUCUCCUGCUUUUGCUUGACUGGUUAACAGCUGAAUUCAGAGUGAACAAAUCAGCUCACACAUAAGGACCUAAAAAUAUCAAAAUAGAGGCAGAACCCUCCUGUUCAUACAGGAGUUCCCCACCCUCACUGUGGAGGGAGAGGGGCUGGGGGAAGCAUCUGGUGAAAAUGAAAUCUGAACAAUGACACACUGAGAAAGACAUUGCAUUGAAUGGGAGACCAACAGGGUACCUGGUGCCCUUUUAGCACCCACCUGCAGCACUCCAUUCACUUCUCUGCUUUUCCUUAUGAAGGAUCUGCUGCAGAAUGACCAAGGUAAGAGAAGAGCCAACCCUUGAUCACAUUGGAACAAAGGAGGAUUUGCAUUGGGCUUUACUGAAAAGGUGGGGAAAGCCAAAGGUACAGAGAAGGUAAAGACAGUAGAAGACGUCCAGGUUCUGCCUCACAGAACAAGAGGCUCCUAAAGGUGCCAGUCGUACAAAAAGGAAAGAAGGAAAGGCUCAGUAUGUGGACAAAGGCUUUUAAAAACCUACCUGUUCAGACUGAAAUGGCCCAACAGCGUGCCUCCAGUCUUCUCUGAAGUUAAUGAUGGUCAAGGGCAUGCCCUGCUAGAUAGGACCAAGCCAGUGCUGUGUGCAUCCUGUCUGAGAAAGGCUAUUGCAGUCUCCUUGGUACUGGGCAGGGGGUGAUCUGCCCUGAGAGUCCAUGUGUGUUGUAAAUACCAGUGAUUGUAGCGGUGUCUGUACAGGGACACUGAACUUGCCAAAACCUCCAGGAAUGUGCUCUCUGCUCAGAAGACAGAGCAAGAGCACAUAUUUGCCAAGUGUUCUCAGAGAUGCUUUCAAGCAGGAUAUCCUGGGCCUUCCCUGAUUUGUUUUUGACAUGAUUUAUGUCCUGUGUGUGAGUGGAAAAGUUGUCACACAAUUUAAUGGCUGUUUCUGAUUUUAUUUGUCUGGGCUUUAUGAGUAAGAAUUAGGCUCUUAGAGCCAAGCCUGGGCUCACAGCUCCUCUGCAGUGUUGCCCCACAGGCUUGGCACAAUGAGGAGCACUAAACCCAUUUUUGCUUUUGUUACCAAAGCAAAAACGCCUCUUGGUGCAUGUGUACAACCACAAUAUUUCCUCUGUAUUCCCUUGUGAGAGUGAAGCUGUGACUGCAGACUGGCAGGUGACGUAGUACCACUGGACUUCUGUCUGUGUGCAGGUGUGAAGCUGAGCUGUCAAUCUGUUGUGAUCCACACAUUGUCAUCAGGUUGCUCCUGUCUCACCACCAU